CCUACGGGAGGCAGCAGUAAGGAAUAUUGGUCAAUGGACGCAAGUCUGAACCAGCCAUGCCGCGUGAAGGAUUAAGGUCCUCUGGAUUGUAAACUUCUUUUAUUUGGGACGAAAAAGGGCCUUUCUAGGUCAACUGACGGUACCAGAUGAAUAAGCACCGGCUAACUCCGUGCCAGCAGCCGCGGUAAUACGGAGGGUGCAAGCGUUAUCCGGAUUCACUGGGUUUAAAGGGUGCGUAGGCGGGUAGGUAAGUCAGUGGUGAAAUCCUAGAGCUUAACUCUAGAACUGCCAUUGAUACUAUCUAUCUUGAAUAUUGUGGAGGUAAGCGGAAUAUGUCAUGUAGCGGUGAAAUGCUUAGAUAUGACAUAGAACACCUAUUGCGAAGGCAGCUUACUACGCAUAUAUUGACGCUGAGGCACGAAAGCGUGGGGAUCAAACAGGAUUAGAUACCCUGGUAGUCCACGCCCUAAACUAUGAUUACUCGACAUUUGAGAUACACAUUAAGUGUCUGAGCGAAAGCAUUAAGAAUCCACCUGGGAAGUAGUUCCGCAAGGAUUGAAACUUCAAAUUGAAUUGAGGCUUGAGACGNGCGAGCGACGACGAGGAGGAGG
rnacentral:rRNA from 1 species